rnacentral:rRNA from 1 species
UACGGAGGGUGCAAGCGUUAUCCGGAUUUAUUGGGUUUAAAGGGAGCGUAGGCGGUCUUAUAAGUCAGUGGUGAAAUCUCGUUGCUUAACAACGAACGUGCCAUUGAUACUGUAGGACUUGAGUACAGUUGCCGUUGGCGGAAUGUGUCAUGUAGCGGUGAAAUGCAUAGAUAUGACACAGAACACCGAUUGCGAAGGCAGCUGACGAAACUGUAACUGACGCUGAGGCUCGAAAGCGUGGGGAUCAAACAGG